GAUGAACGCUGGCGGCGUGCCUAAUACAUGCGAGUCGAGCGAACGGACGAGAAGCUUGCUUCUCUGAUGUUAGCGGCGGACGGGUGAGUAACACGUGGAUAACCUACCUAUAAGACUGGGAUAACUUCGGGAAACCGGAGCUAAUACCGGAUAAUAUUUUGAACCGCAUGGUUCAAAAGUGAAAGACGGUCUUGCUGUCACUUAUAGAUGGAUCCGCGCUGCAUUAGCUAGUUGGUAAGGUAACGGCUUACCAAGGCAACGAUGCAUAGCCGACCUGAGAGGGUGAUCGGCCACACUGGAACUGAGACACGGUCCAGACUCCUACGGGAGGCAGCAGUAGGGAAUCUUCCGCAAUGGGCGAAAGCCUGACGGAGCAACGCCGCGUGAGUGAUGAAGGUCUUCGGAUCGUAAAACUCUGUUAUUAGGGAAGAACAUAUGUGUAAGUAACUGUGCACAUCUUGACGGUACCUAAUCAGAAAGCCACGGCUAACUACGUGCCAGCAGCCGCGGUAAUACGUAGGUGGCAAGCGUUAUCCGGAAUUAUUGGGCGUAAAGCGCGCGUAGGCGGUUUUUUAAGUCUGAUGUGAAAGCCCACGGCUCAACCGUGGAGGGUCAUUGGAAACUGGAAAACUUGAGUGCAGAAGAGGAAAGUGGAAUUCCAUGUGUAGCGGUGAAAUGCGCAGAGAUAUGGAGGAACACCAGUGGCGAAGGCGACUUUCUGGUCUGUAACUGACGCUGAUGUGCGAAAGCGUGGGGAUCAAACAGGAUUAGAUACCCUGGUAGUCCACGCCGUAAACGAUGAGUGCUAAGUGUUAGGGGGUUUCCGCCCCUUAGUGCUGCAGCUAACGCAUUAAGCACUCCGCCUGGGGAGUACGACCGCAAGGUUGAAACUCAAAGGAAUUGACGGGGACCCGCACAAGCGGUGGAGCAUGUGGUUUAAUUCGAAGCAACGCGAAGAACCUUACCAAAUCUUGACAUCCUUUGACAACUCUAGAGAUAGAGCCUUCCCCUUCGGGGGACAAAGUGACAGGUGGUGCAUGGUUGUCGUCAGCUCGUGUCGUGAGAUGUUGGGUUAAGUCCCGCAACGAGCGCAACCCUUAAGCUUAGUUGCCAUCAUUAAGUUGGGCACUCUAAGUUGACUGCCGGUGACAAACCGGAGGGAGGUGGGGAUGACGUCAAAUCAUCAUGCCCCUUAUGAUUUGGGCUACACACGUGCUACAAUGGACAAUACAAAGGGCAGCGAAACCGCGAGGUCAAGCAAAUCCCAUAAAGUUGUUCUCAGUUCGGAUUGUAGUCUGCAACUCGACUACAUGAAGCUGGAAUCGCUAGUAAUCGUAGAUCAGCAUGCUACGGUGAAUACGUUCCCGGGUCU
rnacentral:rRNA from 1 species